rnacentral:lncRNA from 1 species
GCAGUAUGUUGCUGCUGGUUUCAGGGCGGUGAUCUCGGAAGCCGAAAGGGACCGAAGCGAAGGGGAGGCGGAAGAGAAGCAGCAGUUUCCUGCAGAAAGAGAGGCCGAGGCUCUGUUUAUGACUACCUGACUCACAGAGGAUGCACUCUUGUGGUCACACAACUGCCCAGGCACAAGUUCAUUAAGGAGGCAUGCCAUUGGUGCUACUGUGGCUUCUAGGGCCCACAGGCAUCAGGACUUUUGAAAGCUUCCCAGAGGAUUCUAAUGUCAGGAGUGUGAGAGAAGGGCUGUUACCCGGGAUCAGUUUGCCCUCUCUUCCUGGAAAACUAGUAAGUAGCUUACAGCCAAUCUGUCUUCAUUUGUUUGCUUGUGUUUUGUAAAGCUAGACUCCUGAAGACCUUUACUGAUGUUUGAAUAGAGUGCCAUGGAUGACAAUCAAUCCUGAAUUCAUUAACAUGUGGACUUCUCCUUUGUACCAUUUGAUAUUGCCAUCUUAAUGUGAUCGUUAAGAAAAAAACUUACUAUGUUGCCUCUCCCCAGAAGACAGUGAUUAUACCACCCCUUAUAUGUGCAAGAAUUGCCAACUUUAAGAACUUGUAAUCUCCUCAGGCAUAUUUUUAAAAGGCCAAUGGACUCCCACCUUUCUCCACAUACCUUCCCAUCUAGCCCUGCCUUCUAUGAAUAAAAGGUGGGUACUUGCACUAAAGUACCGAUGACAGAGAUAUCUAUUGCCAUAAAAUGGGUGUAUUCCCAACAGACUGUCAGUUAGAAAUUUCAUGACAGAAAAUUUAGAUGUUGAAUUCUGGGAUCCUCAGUGUCACAUUGGGUCAUCCCAAUAUUCUAUAUCAGUGAUAUGAAGGAUUUAUUUCAUACCUUAUAUAUGUGCUUAAUACACUUUUAGCUACAUUAUCAUGUUUGUUAUUCAACAGUUCCCCAGGGGAGUUUUCAAUCCCCAUUUCGCAGAUGAGGAAAAUGAGAUUUAGAGGGAUUGUGACUUGUGCAGGGUCACAGAGCUAGUAGAUGGCGGAAGGAAAUUUGAGUACAGCCAUUCUGCUUGGGACGUUUAGUGUUCCUCACACUGUAUCAAUUUUAUGUUUUGAGAGCACUGGAGCAUAAUUUCUUUCCAGUAGAUUAAUCUCAGAAAUUUGGAAUAUUUAAACAAUCCUGUUUUUCAUUAUUUUUUUAGAUUAUAUUAAACCUUUUUAAAAAAAUUAAAUACAUUUUCAACACAUGUAUCUGGUAAAGUAAUGAACACAGUAUAAAUUUACUGUGUUCUUUACAGAUCCUUUUAGACAUAUUUAUCUCUUAAAUUUCAAAGGAUGCCUCAUACUUAGUACAGACUGAAUUUUCAGGAGUUCCCCUUGUGGCAUAGUGGUUAGCGAAUUCGACUAGGAACUAUGAGGUUGCGGUUCGCUCCCUGGCCUUGCUCAGUGGGUUAAGGACUCGGCGUUGCCGUGAACUGUGUUGUAGGUCACAGAUGGGGCUCGGAUCCCCAGUUGCUCUGUAGCCACCGGCCUACGCCAGAGCCACAGCAACGCGGGAUCCGAGCUGCGUCUGCAACCUACACCACAGCUCACGGCAACGCCGGAUCGUUAACCCACUGAGCAAGGGCAGGGACCGAACCCGCAACCUCAUGGUUCCUAGUCGGAUUCGUUAACCACUGCGCCACGACGGGAACUCCCAAAACUUUUUUUUUUUUUCUCAAGAACUUGCUGUGUGCCAAGAACUUUAGUGAUACAAUGAUCAGUAAGAUUGAAACACUUUUCCAAAUCGACCCUUGCUGCCUGGAGGUGCAGUGACAAAAAGUGCAUGACACAGUUCAGGUGAGGUGAUAGCAUUCUGUGUACAAGUGUUGAUAAGGUUUUAUGUCCAAUAUUCAUCCUUACUAUACUCAUUCCCUGGCCUUUUGAUUGUCAAGUUAUAUGGCUUCAAUAAAUAUCUUUAAUGCACUUUAGAUAGUAUUCUUAUAAGAAAUAAAUAGGUCAAACCUUUGUAGAUCAUAAUAUAUAAAUCUGACAAGCUUAAUUUUUAUUUGCUCCUUAAGGAGUAUUUGUACGUUUUCCCAUAUUAGAACUAUUUGGUUGCUUUACCCACUAGCAUGGCCUUGUUAUAUCUUGUUGGAAUUAAUCUCCAUCUGCAUAGAAUUCAAUUAUCUGCAACAUAGCUUUUAUCUUCAGGCUUACAAAUGGCUCGGUGCUUUCACUUCCCAAUCAUUACCAUUUGUAGAAUAUUCAAUAAGACAGAUCUCAGCAACUGUAUUACUCGUGUGUCAGUUUUGCUGAGUGAGCAUUGAGAUUUUCUGUGAAGGGAAAAAUAUUCUUCAGAAAUAUAUUUGGAAGAUAUUUUUAAAAGGUUAUAGUUAAACUAGAGAGUAGAUUCGAGGUUGGAGAAGUCACUGACCAGCUAAAAAUAACCAUUACAAUAAGCAGUGAUUUACUGAUUAUUAAGAUAAAUGUAAAUGAGUAUCACAUCAUUAUAUGAUCAACCAUUGCAUUUCACAUAAUGGAACAUUCCUAUAUUCCACUGGUCAGAUCUCAGUGGCAACAAUGGUAGCAUCAAUUGGCAAGAAACACAGGACCGUAAAAAAAGUAUCAAAAAAGUCUUUGAUGUUCAAGAAAAUACUCCUUGGGAUCUAUUUCUUGUAAUAGAAAGUAUAAUUAAUUCCACAAGUUGAAUUGGAAUUCAUAGGUUUCAUUGUACUUCAUUCUCUACUUUAAUCACAACUCCCUAAGUCACAUCAAGGGACCUCAGACUCACAGACUCCUACUUCUCUAAGAUUCUGAUCUUGAGGCUCUUUUUUUCUGGCCCCAACACUGUGGCGAGGUCACUCUUCCAGGCUCCUGUACUCUCUGAGCUUCUCUUCCAUCACAGCAGACUAUGCAAUCAUUUAGCCCAUCCCGCAAUGACCCUGCUCAUCGACAUCCUCCUAGUUUCCAUGGCUGGUCUCUUACUUCAGCAGCUUCUCCUCACCAGUCUGGCACAGAGAUAGUCAAGAGACAGGUUCUGACUUCCAGUCCUCAGUUGGUCUUGAAUUGUCCAAUAAUUACUGUGAGAUCUUACUUGCCCCCCCAUGAAUACAUCACUGUCUCUCCAUUGUAAGGUAAGAGAUUUGCACACAAAAAGUCUCUAUACUUUCUUUUAGCUGUAAAUGUCUUGUUUUCUGAUUAGGUACAAGGUAGAAUAAAGGGGAGUAGCACUGGUAAAAGAAAUGUAUAGUCUACCAAUUUUCCUCUCAGCUUUUUUACUUUCAGUUUUAACGUAAAGCGUAAGUGGCUGAAUUAAAAAUCUCUCUUCCAAAUUUCUCCAGCAUUUUAGGUGAAUGACAAACUCUUGAGUUCUAGGUUUUUUUUUUUUUUUUUUUUUUUUUUUGAGGGAAGAUUUUUCCAGCAGCCCAAACCCAGAAUAGCCUCUUGCUCCUUUGAAUUGCUAGAGCUCCACUUAUUUUGUACUGAACUCCUGUUGCCAUUUGUUUUUAUUUAUCUCUUGAUGAAGGUAUCCUGCCUUUCCAAGUAGAUUUUAAGCCUAUUGUAGGACUAUAUCAUGGACUUUUAUCUGUCCUCACCAUGUGGCUCAGUGCCCAGCACAAAUCAUCACCAAAUAAGUUUAUUGGUGGUAAUAGCACAUAAUUCCAGGAGACUCACUUAAAUAUUGUUGACAGUCUAUUAUUUCAGAGAUGUAUUAUCUGUCUCUCAUUUAGCAAGAACAUCAUAUCUUCAUUCAUAAUGAAAUUAGCCUUGUGGCCCUGAACACUAGAUAAUAUAUAGGCUGAAUCAAAUGAACAUUUGCUGUGGACAUGAAAAUGUUUAGCAACUGUCAAGAUGAUUGUCUUAAUCCCUUCAGUCUGUUGUAAAAAAAUACCACAGAGUGCAUAGCUUAUAAACAACAGAAAUUUCUUGCUAACAGUUCUGGAGGCUAGAAGUCCAAGAUCAGCAUGCCAACAUAGUCAGGUGAGGGCUGUCUUCUAGGUUGCAGACUUCAGACUGCUGACGUUUCACUGGGUCUUCACAUGGCAGGGUCUAGGGCUCUCUGUGGAGCUUGUUUUAUAAGGCGCUAAUCCCACUAAAAAGGACUCUACCCUUUUUUUUGUCUGUCCUUUUGGGGCCGCACCCUCAGCAUAUGGAAGUUCCCAGGCUACGGCUCCAAUCAUAGGUGUAGCUGCCAGCCUACACCACAGCCACAGUAACAUCAGAUCUGAGCCACAUCUGCGACCUAUACCACAGCUCAAGGCAAUGCCGGAUCCUUAACCCACUGAAUAAGGCCAGAGAUUGAACCUGCAUCCUCAUGGAUAUUAGUCAGAUUCAUUUCCACUGAGCCCCGAGAGGAACUCCAACUCUACCCUUAUAACCUAAUUACCCCCCACCCCUGUCGCUCUCUCCUUCCCAUCCCCACCCUGCCUCCUAAUGCUGUCAACUUUGGAGCUUAAGAUUUCACCAUAUGAAUUUGUGGGAGAUGCAAAUAUUCACAUGAAAGCAAUGGCUAAUACUAAUGAGCUAAUAGAUAUCAUAGAACUUUUAUGUGGUUUUUGAGGCAUUACUUGUUAUCAAGAACCCUGUCACUAUGCGAAUAAAAGGGAAAUACAAGAAAGGGAAAUAUGAAAUAAUAAUGGCUUAGGCUUAUAGAAUAUUAUAUAUAUUUACUUAUUUAAUAUUUUCAGCAACUCUUGAAAUAGGUAAUAUUUCCCAUUUUUUAGAAAUAUUGUCUCUAGCAUUUUAAAUGAGAAACAGGGCACAGAAGGUUUAAGUAAUUUGCUCAAGAUAGCACAGCUAAUAAGAAAGAGAGCUGGGAUUUGAACUUAGGUGGCCUGACUCCGGAGUCUAAAGCUAAUAUGCCAUGAACUAAGUUGGUUCCCUAUAUUUUGUAGUUAGAUAUGAAGCCAUAAAAUGUAUUGUAAUUAAAGAAAUUUGAGUAUUUGGUGGCAAUUCCAAGUGGGAUUGAAAGCCACAUCAGAACUGGAAAAGAUUCUGUGAGGAUGUGCUUCUGCCAGCUCAAGGUCAUCCUGUGGUACUCAGGUCCUUUCCCAUCCUCAAGUUAUUUUCCGUUAGUGUGAAAGCAGAAAUGGGAGCCCUGGCUGGGGUGAAGAGGGCCUUUCAUCUUCCCAGGCAGGGGGACCACUGGGUAAGGCAGGCUGAUGAGAGCUGCAGGGGAGCUGAGCUAUUUUAAAAACACAUGAAAGUAAGAGCUUAAGAGAGAAUUUUUAUGAGGAUGGCAAAGUCGAGGGUGUAUGCUUAUGCACGCAUGCAGGAAACGUGGGUUAAAACUGAUCAGUGAUUAAAAUUCCUUAGACCUUUAAAAUGCAAAUGACUUGAAAAAUGUCAUAUUUUUGAGAAGUAAGCAUUCUCAUUUAUGGGAACUACAACAUGGUACUUGAUUCUGGAGAAUAUUUGAAGUUGCAUGAAGUUCACUAGCGCUGCAGUACAAAUUAUUAGAUAAAACUAUUGCGUGCUGGAACUUGGGAAAGAAUUCCAUUGAUUUCCCGUCGCUAGUUUUUGUCCUUAAGAAAGUGGAGAGGCAAUUAAACUCUUCCUUUUUGACCCUUUGUGCAGAUAAUGGCACAAAUGCUUCAGUGGAAAUUGCAAAGACAAUGUCAUAGCAGUAAAUUCCAAUUCACUGUCCUGGUUUUUUUGAGAUCAAAGCCAGGCACACUUCUUUUCGAUGACACUCAUUUUUUCUUUCUCCUUCUGAACUUGCUGCUGCAGUUCUCUCUAGCUAACACAUGCUGCCAGCCAGGUCCUUCAGUAUGAAUAGUGACUACUCUGGCUCUCUCACUGGGACCCUCUAAUUACAGGGCUAAGUUUGAAGAUUUCAACUUAUUUUGGCACUCAGGGUGAUGACGAAGGAUUUAAUUCUCUUCUCAGGCUUUCUAAUUAAUAAAACUCUCUAAUUUUUGUCAGAAUACAUUUAGCAGGGGUUUAAAUAACUAGUUCUCAAGGAGCCCUAUUUUGCUAUUGUCAAAAACUAUUCUUUAAAUCUGCUAAAAAUAUCUCAAGAUACAGUAAAGGGAAUGCACUGCUUCCUCCCCUUGUGAAGAUAUGGUGAGUUCCUUUUGCUGUUUUAAAUAUAUGUAAGAAGAGUGGGAGGAAGGAGUGAAAUUUUUGGCACCAAAAAGUACAGGACUCAAGUGACUAAAGAUGUACUUUCACCUUCCCUGCAGUUGAGAGAAGAAAGAGUUUGAAAUUUCUAGUCUCAUCGUUUCUUCCUUUUUCUUUCUCUCCUUUAAGUCUGCAUAUUCUACCUGAACAAAUGAAUUUUCAUUGUGAAAUGAAUUUGGUUGGAAUUGCAUUCUUCUUCUAAGAAAUAAAGUAGGGAAUUUUCCCUCUGAUUUUGUUUUAAAUUCCAUCAUGGUUAGCAAUCAAGGAUAAGAAAUCCAAUAGAUCGGUCUAGUGACAAGAAAGAGAAAUUACACACGGAGAUCGAGAAAUAUACCAUUGUUUUGAAAACAUCCCCAUAAUCAAAAGAUUCACAGACUUCAGUUACAAUCUACUUAUAGAAUGAUAGACGCUGUGCCACUGUGGUGAAACAAAUAGCAUUUGAUAUCUCGGAUUCACUGCAAUGCAAUUUGGCUCAUGUAUUUUCUUCGAAAAAUUAUCUUAGGAAAAGGAUUCGUUACUUUUAUUUUAUUUAGAAAAUUAAUUUAUUCAAUGGAUAUUUAUUGAGCAUCUUCUGCAUAAUAGGCAGAAGAAGUGCUGAGAAA